ACCGCCCAGCCAGCAGCCUCACUGCCGCAGCUUCUGUGUCGGGGCAUGUGUUGGUGGACGCGGGGGCUGCCUCCUCGGCUACUGGAGGGGACGCUGCGCAAACACGGGGCACAUCAAUCCUUUCAAAUCAGUGGUUUCAUUGGCUUUGGGGCAAACCCCCAGCAGCGCCAUUUCUGGGCUGCGGGGCAGCUCUGUCUGUAGGCCUCGGAGAUCCCCCCCCCUCUGUUCCCUCCGACGGCUGCACAGCCUGCGCGCCCAGCAGGGCGGGAGGGUCCCCUUGCUCCACAUCCUUGCCAACACUUGCUGUUUGCUGAGUUUUUGCUUUUCGCCAUCCUGACGGGUGUGAGCGGGAGCCUGCUGUGGCUUCCACGUCUACUUCCCUGAUGCUGAGGGAUGCCGAGCAUCUUUUCCCGUGUCUCCUGCUCACCUGCAUGUCUUUGGAAAAAUUGGCUAUUCAGCUCCUCUGCCCAUUUUUUAAUUUGAAUUAUUUGGGACUUUCUUGGUCCGGAGGUGUAUAAGUUCUUUAUAUAUUUUGGAUAUUAACCCCCUUUCCAGAUUAUCAUUUGCAGACAUCUCGUCCCAUUCAAUAGAUUGAACCUUGUCAUUUUGCUCAUGGUUUUCCUUCACUGGGCAAAAGCUUUUUAUUUUGGUGUGAUCCUAUUAGUUUGCUUUUGCUCUUGUUUCCCUUGCCUCAGGAGACCUAUCUAGAAAAACGUUGCUACAGCCAACGUCAGAGUUUACUGCUAGUGAUUUCUUUUAGGAUUUUUAUGGUUCCAGGUCCCACAUUUAGGUCUUUCAUUCAUUUUGAGCUUAUCUUUGUGUCUGAUGUAACGAAGUGGUCCUGUUUCACUCUUCCGCACGUGGCUGCCCAGUUUUCCCAACACCGCCUGUUGAAGAGACUGUCUUUUUUUUUUCUCAUUGGGUAUUUUUGUUUCCUUUGUCCUAGAUUAAUUGACCAUAUAAGCCCGGGUUUGUUUCUGGGAUCUCCAUUCUGCUCCAUUUCUCCUCCUCUUCCUCCUCCUCCUCCUUUUCCUCCUCCUCCUCCUCCUCCUCCUUCUUCUUCUCCUCCUUCCUCCUCUCCUACUCCUUCUCCUUCCUCUUCCUUGUCUUUUUUUUUUUUUUAACUGAAGUAUAACUGACAUACACUAUUUUUAAUUAGUUUCAGGAGUAGGACCUAAUGAUUCAGUAUCUGUAUUUACUGCAAAAGACUCACCACCAUAAGUCUGGGUAACAUUUAUAAAGCUUUGUAUGUUUCUGAACGAUGAAAAUGCUCUAAAGGAAAUACACUUUCUGCUUCGUGGCUGUGGCCAAAUUUAAGAAAGUGGCUGAAGAGGCACAUUUAGGUCAGUUCUCCCGCUGGACUGUGCCCUAAUGCCUUUCGGAAAAGGGCAGUCUGCAAACAGGAAGUUUUCAGUUCAGCGCUGGCAUGCUAGCAAGAAACUGUCUGAAAUUAGAGAAUUCACACGCUGACGGGCCUUCUUAAAAGAUCUCCCACAGAAACAUAACCAGGCUUUGUCCUCCAGGACUUGCACGGAUCAUCACGGGGACACUCGGGUGCUGAUGUGAGGAUGAAACGAGCACCCCGUAGAUCGGCCUUUAAUCCACCAGGAACGGUGGGUGUGCGCGGUCUGUGCCAAGAGAUUCCAAGGACAACCCUCCCCCCCACCCCGCGAGUGCCAGGUGAUGCCUUUCCUGAGCGGGAGAUGCCGGACGUCCGUCCGCGCGGGGCACCUUGCAGCCUGGAGCUGGGAGCACAUGAGGAUGAACCAGAGAGAGAGAAUCCGAAGCGGACUCGGCGCUGAGCAGGGAGCCUGACACGGGGCCAGACCCAUGACCCCGAGACUCACAACCUGAGCAGACAGCGAGAGUCAGACAAAGGAUGGACAGGGACGAGGGCGUGCUCUUCAGCUCACAAGCACCGCAGGCCUCUGCCUGCUUCACCUGCCACUGAACCUAAGAGAGAUAAAGGGUGUCAUAUGCAGAAGCCUAAUUGGAGAAGGGAACCCGUGGACUUCCUCCCCGUGAUCCGUAUUCAUGGGGAAGAUCAAGUACGAGACAUGUAGACGUCUUCUAAGAUCUUAUUUAUUAUUUAAAGAGAGAGAGUAGCGGGAAAGAGAAUCGCAGGCGGACUCUCCGCUGAGCAUAGAGCCCCACGCGGGUCUCGACCCCACGACACCGAGAUCGCGACAGGAGCUGGAACUAAGGGUCAGACACAAGUGGCUGGGCCACCCAGGCGCCCCCUAAAUACGCAAAUGUAUUUUACAAAUCUGGAGGCGGGCACAGCAGAUCGCUAGCCCUCUUUACUCCGGCGGAAAGAGUAAAGCAUGAGUUUUCCUCUGUAUUCCUGAACUCGUGAGGAUAUAUUCAUGAGUUGGUUGUGUAAUUAAGCUGAAGUCAAAGAAUUUUUUAAAGAGAAGUUGCACAUGUGUUGUUCGGGUACGUGUGACCCACGUAUUUCAUCUGAGAACUUCCCUCACUGACACAGAAUCCGAAUGAUACACUAGAUGAAAAGGAGUCACCCCACACACAGAUCCUAAAUUCCAAGGAACUCAAAACAAAAUACAUUUCAUAUGAGAUUGA